NAGCGCCUGAACUCAAGCAAGAUUACCCGCUGAACUUAAGCAUAUUACUAAGCGGAGGAAAAGAAACUAACAAGGAUUACCUUAGUAACUGCGAGUGAACUGGUAAAAGCCCAGACUGGUAAUCGCUUCGGCGAAUUGUACAGUUUAGACAUGUGUCUUAAGUGAAUCGCACGCGUAACUUGGCUGGAAUGCCAGACCGGAGAAGGUGAUAGUCCUGUGCCGCCUGUGUGAAGCGAAAGACUGUGUUCAAGAGUCGGACAGUUUGGGAUUGCUGUCCUAAGUGGGAGGUAGACUUCUUCUAAGGCUAAAUACUGACGAGAGACCGAUAGCGAACAAGUACUGUGAAGGAAAGA
rnacentral:rRNA from 1 species